UUUCGUUGCAGAAUAGUUAAAAAACCAAGAUGGCGCGCAGUGAAUGCGAUUCAGAUUGUUCGAAGGACGGAAAAAAAGAAGGGGUCGGGCACGGCGAAUUACCAGAUGAAGAAACGCAAUCAGCGCCUGCUCAAAUAAACGGAAUUGACGACAAUGACACGGAAGAUACUAGGGAGGAGCUGUGUGUGCUCAUGGACCAGAUCAGUAGCUGUCUAGAUGCAUUGGAGCAGCAACACGAUGAUCUUCGUGCAAGGAUAUUGGCACAUUACGCUCAAAUACGUGGCAGCAGGGAUAGUGACGUAGAGGAAGAUGCAGAGUGUCCACUAGACGACACAACAGUGUCAUCUGAUGACACGGAGAUGACUGAAUAGGACUUGGCUAAAGAUCCUUGUUGUCGUACAAUUGGAGACGUGUGUGCAAGUUAGCGCGUCACCAGAUGACUUCACGCACGCUGAUAGCCAUCGCAUUCCAGCGCAGAGUUCUUGUUGUGUCUCAAACGUUACAUCUAGUCUGGCCUUGUGCAGUAUUCCGAAAACGUUAUGUUGUGGUAAAUAAUCUGGAGAUGUGCAAUCGAAGUGUUGCAGUCUGUUAAAGUUUGCAUGAGUAAAGCAUUGUAAUAUAUCCUA